GACGAACGCUGGCGGCGUGCUUAACACAUGCAAGUCGAGCGGUAAGGCCUCUUCGGGGGUACACGAGCGGCGAACGGGUGAGUAACACGUGGGUGACCUGCCCUCAGCUCUGGGAUAAGCCUGGGAAACUGGGUCUAAUACCGGAUAUGACCUUUCCUCGCAUGGGGUUUGGUGGAAAGUUUUUUCGGCUGGGGAUGGGCCCGCGGCCUAUCAGCUUGUUGGUGGGGUGAUGGCCUACCAAGGCGACGACGGGUAGCCGGCCUGAGAGGGCGACCGGCCACACUGGGACUGAGACACGGCCCAGACUCCUACGGGAGGCAGCAGUGGGGAAUAUUGCGCAAUGGGCGGAAGCCUGACGCAGCGACGCCGCGUGGGGGAUGACGGCCUUCGGGUUGUAAACCUCUUUCGACCCCGACGAGUUUGGACGGUAGGGGUAGAAGAAGCACCGGCCAACUACGUG
rnacentral:rRNA from 1 species